UACGUAGGGCGCAAGCGUUGUCCGGAAUUAUUGGGCGCAAAGGGCUCGUAGGCGGUCUGUCACGUCGGGGAGUGAAAACACGGGGGCUUAACCCCGUGCCUGCUUCCGAUACGGGCAGACUAGAGGUAUGCAGGGGAGAACGGAAUUCCUGGUGUAGCGGUGAAAAUGCGCAGAUAUCAGGAAGAACACCCGUGGCUAAGGCGGCUCUCUAGUACGGUACUGACGCUGAGACGCGAAAAGCGUGGGGGAGCGAAACAGG
rnacentral:rRNA from 1 species